rnacentral:lncRNA from 1 species
UCGUCAGUUUUUGGCAUCCUAGUGCAAAUUAGGAUUCUUUGGUAGUUUGGUUCACACUCUCUAAUUGGUUGAUAUAAACUCUGAUAAAGAACUCACAAGAUUGAAUUCGACCUCAUUGAGAAUUUGAUUUUUCUUUUUUAGUGAUUAAUGGUGAGGUUUGCUAACUUUUAUUUUUGAGUGUUGAGUGUUUAUUUUUUACAGGUUUUGAAGAUGUCUAAAGGUGAUAAUAAUG